AUACACUUGUUAAUUAUGUUUUCAUUUGGAAUUCUUUCAGUUGUUGAACCUGUUAGAGAAAAAUUCAACAAAAAUAUUCGUUUGUGGAGUGAAUAUGAAUCUGUUCUUCACAAUUUACAGCAAGUUUUAGAGAUAGAAUUUCCCUCUCCAUCAUCAUCUGUUAAAGAAGAGUUUUGCUUAGAAUGUGGGAUAUGUUACUCAUAUCAGCUGGGUGAUGCCAUCCCAGAUAUGACGUGUGAUGAUCCAAAUUGCAAUCAGCCAUUUCAUCAUGCUUGUUUGUAUGAAUACAUUAGAAUGCUUCCUGAUGUAAGGAGUAGUUUCAAUAAAUUAUUUGGAGAAUGUCCUUACUGCAGUACACCACUGUGGUGCACUAUACCAUGAUAAUUUCUUCCUUUAAAAUGAGGAUGAAUGUAUUUUUCUAGAUCUGUUUCAGAAGGUAAUCUGCUAACACUUCGAAGGGAGGAGAUCAAUGUAUUUGGAGAAACUUUGCUGAGCAUCAGUAGAACAUGUCUCGUAAGAACACAGAAAAGGAGUUCAGCAGAAGCUUUUGCAUCUGGAUUAUUCUCCAAAUUUAAUUUAAGAUUGUCUUAUUGGCAAAUCCAUAAAGUCGUCCCUUACAGUUGCCAACUUUUACUGUUCUUCAUUCUUGUACCUUCUUUAACUGUGAAUCACAUCAUGCAGGUAUUUGUGAAAUGGUCUCCUAGUUCCUAUACUUAUUUUUAGUAAAGUUUUAUGCUCUUUAUCAAAAAAAUAAAAAAAAUAAAAAACAAGAAUUUUGACUACUGCACUACAAAAAUAGACUGGGGUAUUUAAUUUCAAAAUUUGCAAUUUUUGAUAUCAUUUCCAACUUGCCUUGAAGUAAUGGUUUAUUAAAUUAGAAUAAUUCCUGGAAAUAAGUUUAAAUGAGGUGCAGCAAAAAAUCAAGCAAGUCGUGGUUUUUUUUCCCCCUUAGCCUUGCCACUACCUUCAAUUAGCUCAGGCAUUCCCAAGAGCUUUCAAUGGGCCAAACUACUGAUCAGAGUUUUUUAACUGUAUAAUUUUUCUUUGGUAAGAAACAAAUGUUCAGUCAUGCUCAGAUACUGAAACAAUGAAUUUCUAUUCCUAAAUUCUUUUUCGUUUGCAUUAGGUUAAUGUUUUAAGCUUUUCUAGUUUGGCCUUGACUACAUACAUACACACUACAUAUUUACAAUAGCAUAUCAAAAACAUCAUAAUUAGAUGAUAGAGCAUCAUAUGUUUUUUAUCCUAUGUAUAUCACAUUAGGAGAUAGUAAUUGUUAGGUUAAAUCUUCCAUCUUUUUAGCUGACUCAGGCUCAUAAUUACUUUUUUAACCUAAUUUGAACACUAUUUUUCCCCUUUAAACUCCCUUUUCUAUCUAGCCUUAAAAAAUUCCGUAUUAAGUACUCUGAAAUUAUUUUUAUAUAAACCAUUUUUAGCUUUUGUUUAGCUCAUUCUUGGUAUUUGUCAUUGUGAUUUGUAAUUUAUUUUUGAACAACUUCUUGAUAAGCCUGAAGUUCAAAUUUUGUACACAUGCUGUUUGUGGAUGACAUUGCAAUGAAAUGAAGGGAUUUUUCAAAAU